rnacentral:rRNA from 1 species
CUCUGUGACGUCCUACGGGAGGCAGCAGUGGGGAAUAUGCACAAUGGGCGCAAGCCUGAUGCAGCCAUGCCGCGUGUAUGAAGAAGGCCUUCGGGUUGUAAAGUACUUUCAGCAGUGAGGAAGGCGGGUACGUUAUAGCGUGCUCGUUUGACGUUAGCUGCAGAAGAAGCACCGGCUAACUCCGUGCCAGCAGCCGCGGUAAUACGGAGGGUGCGAGCGUUAAUCGGAAUUACUGGGCGUAAAGCGCAUGCAGGUGGUUUGUUAAGUCAGAUGUGAAAGCCCCGGGGCUCAACCUCGGAAUUGCAUUUGAAACUGGCAGACUAGAGUACUGUAGAGGGGGGUAGAAUUUCAGGUGUAGCGGUGAAAUGCGUAGAGAUCUGAAGGAAUACCGGUGGCGAAGGCGGCCCCCUGGACAGAUACUGACACUCAGAUGCGAAAGCGUGGGGAGCAAACAGGAUUAGAUACCCUGGUAG